rnacentral:rRNA from 1 species
AUUGAACGCUGGCGGCUUGCCUAACACAUGCAAGUCGAACGGGGCAGCAAUGCCUAGUGGCGGACGGGUGAGGAAUACGUAGGAAUCUGCCCUUAAGUGGGGGAUAACCAGGGGAAACCCUGACUAAUACCGCAUGAUCUCUUCGGAGCAAAGAGGGGGACCGCAAGGCCUCUCGCUUCUGGAUGAGCCUACGUCUGAUUAGCUAGUUGGGGGGGUAAAGGCCUACCAAGGCGACGAUCAGUAACUGGUCUGAGAGGAUGAUCAGUCACACCGACACUGAGACACGGGCCGGACUCCAACGGGAGGCAGCAGUGGGGAAUAUUGGACAAUGGGCGCAAGCCUGAUCCAGCAAUGCCGCGUGUGUGAAGAAGGCCUUCGGGUUGUAAAGCACUUUAGCCUGGAAAGAAAAAACUUUGGUUAACACCCAAAGUCUUGACGGUACCAGGAGAAUAAGCACCGGCUAAACUCGUGCCAGCCGCCGCGGUAACAC